UUGACUCAUGCAUAACGCGAAACUUUGGCUUCUCGAGCUUGUUUAGGUUUUCCAUUAACAACCUCCAAGCCUGUCCUCUUUCGGUUGACUUUGGCUUGAACAUAUACGGUUCUGUGACAAGAAGUUCCCUGACGAAGUAUUGUUCGUGUUCUUUUUUCCAAAUAAAUAGCUCCUUAUGUUCGUCCAUCUUAAAGUCGUUCUCAGCAGUACGAGUUUCUGAAGAAAUCUCGGCUUAUACGAGCAGACAAAAACAAGUUUCAGAGGUUUUUCCCGCCAAAACGCGCAAUGCUGAUGUAACUCGUACUUAAA